rnacentral:rRNA from 1 species
AUGGCGCCGAGAGGAGACCAUUUUGAUACCCAUGUCUUCUCUUCCUGGACUUGUCAGUGGGAAGCCCGUCCAUCUGUAAUCUGGAGGGGUCCUGUUGGCUCCCAUUUGUUUACUCUGCCAGGGAUGGUUAACCACUGCCGUGCACAAUAUGCUCACGGCCGCUUCUACUUCAUAUCUAAUAUCAAUAGAUGGGAAACACUGGUUCUUGACCCCAUGACAAUGGAUUUUUCUACUGUUGAUGGCCCUCCCGUGGACAGAGUUUGUGAUGAAGACAUAUGUAUCGUGGAGGCAGAUGAAGGCAGUCUCGGGAUGUUUCUAACGUACCAAGACUAUGACACAAGCAAUAUCAUUUAUUGGCAAAGUGAAGGUGAUAUUUCCGGACCAUGGCGGGAAGAGAAAAGAAUUGAUGUAGGUGACAUGUGCAGAGUUUUUUCUUCCGAAGGGAGACAUGUAUUUGGAUAUGAUACUAUUGCAUGUUUCUCGUUGGUUGCCAAAGCAUUGGAGCUCGAGAGGCUAUGUUACAUGAUUCUGGAUGAGGCGUACCCAUAUAGCAAUCUUCCACUACCGUACGCAUUACCCACCGUGGCAUCAGGCCCCAAAGAGACGCAGCAGACCAGAACGAUUGUUGAGGAGAUGGAGGACGCUCAGGAGAUGGAGGACGACGAGUACCCAUUCCAGGACCUUGCAGUGGAUUUUCAGUUACUAGAAGAGGAGAACGACAACGACGACGACUUCUUGUCAGAGCCUACAGUGACUUUUGAGUUAACAGUCGAGGAGACAAAGAAGCAGGUGGCCGCCUCCAUUGGACACUCGAAUGUCUGGAACUCGCACCCAAAGAACUACGGCUCCGGAUCCAUGCCGUGUCUGUGGCAACUCACAUGGCCUGAUCCGCAAGUACGGGCUGAUGUGCUGCAGGCAGUGUUUCCGCAGCAAUGCAAGGACAUUGGCUUCAUCAAGGUAUGCGGCAGCCACACCGUUGGUGGAUUUCCUGAAUCCCAUGCCUGA